CCUACGGGAGGCAGCAGUGAGGAAUAUUGGUCAAUGGACGAGAGUCUGAACCAGCCAAGUAGCGUGAAGGAUGACUGCCCUAUGGGUUGUAAACUUCUUUUAUAUGGGAAUAAAAUGUUCCACGUGUGGGAUUUUGUAUGUACCAUAUGAAUAAGGAUCGGCUAACUCCGUGCCAGCAGCCGCGGUAAUACGGAGGAUCCGAGCGUUAUCCGGAUUUAUUGGGUUUAAAGGGAGCGUAGGUGGAUUGUUAAGUCAGUUGUGAAAGUUUGCGGCUCAACCGUAAAAUUGCAGUUGAAACUGGCAGUCUUGAGUACAGUAGAGGUGGGCGGAAUUCGUGGUGUAGCGGUGAAAUGCUUAGAUAUCACGAAGAACUCCGAUUGAGAAGGCAGUUCACUGGACUGCAACUGACACUGAGGCUCGAAAGUGUGGGUAUCAAACAGGAUUAGAUACCCCUGUAGUC
rnacentral:rRNA from 1 species